rnacentral:rRNA from 1 species
AUACGGAGGGUCCAAGCGUUGUCCGGAAUCAUUGGGUUUAAAGGGUCCGCAGGCGGUCAAUUAAGUCAGAGGUGAAAGCCCAUCGCUCAACGAUGGAACUGCCUUUGAUACUGGUUGACUUGAGUUAUACGGAAGUAGAUAGAAUAAGUAGUGUAGCGGUGAAAUGCAUAGAUAUUACUUAGAAUACCGAUUGCGAAGGCAGUCUACUACGUAUAUACUGACGCUGAGGGACGAAAGCGUGGGGAGCGAACAGGAUUAGAAACCCCGGUAGUCC